rfam:Gloeophyllum trabeum ATCC 11539 unplaced genomic scaffold GLOTRscaffold_00275, whole genome shotgun sequence.
GCCUCGGUUGCUUAAUGGUUAAAGCGCUCCUCUGAAGAAGGAGAGAAAGUGAUUCGAUUUCAUUCCGGGGCA